CCACUAGACGUUCUGGGCUGCACGCGCGCUACAAUAAUACGCACAGCGAGUAUCACCGAGCUCGAAAGGGCAAGGUAAACAAUAGAAAAGGUACUGUAAUGGUUAUAGAUCCUUGUAAUUAUUGAUCUUCAACGAGGAAUUCCUAGUAAGUAUGUGUCAUCAUCACGCACUGAUUACGUCCCUGCCCUUUGUACACACCGCCCGUCGCUCCUACCGAUUGGGUGAGCCGAUGAAACUCUCGGAUGUAGGCUAUUCAUAGCCCGCAGAAGAGAUUUGAAUCGUAGCGCUUAGAGGAAGGAGAAGUCGUAACA
rnacentral:rRNA from 1 species